rnacentral:rRNA from 1 species
AAUUUUGGACAAUGGGCGAAAGGCUGAUCCAGCCAUGCCGCGUGUGUGAAGAAGGUCGUCGGACUGUAAACCACUUUAUGAUGGGAGGAUGGGCAGUAAGAUAAUACCUUGCUGUCUUGACGCUACCGACAGAAUACGCACCUGUUAACUUCGUGCCAGCAGCCGCGGUAAUACGAAGGGUACAAACGUCAACCGGGAUUACUGGGCGUAAAGCGCGCGUAGGUGGUUUGUUAAGAUGGAAGUGAAAGCCCCGGGCUCAACCUGGGAACUGCUUUCAAAACUGGCAAUCUAGAGUAUGGCAGAGAGUGGUGGAAUUUCCUGUGUAGCUGUGAAAUGCGUAGAUAUAGGAAGGAACACCAGUGGCGAAGGCGACCACCUGGGCUAAUACUGGCACUGAGGUGCGAAAGCGUGGGGAGCAAACA